GUGAGACCUUUCUGCCUAGCUCUAGCUCAUGGUUGUUAUCCUGUCCUCACUCUUCCUGGGCUUAGCAGAGGUCAUGUUCUUGCUUGUGCUUUCUGCUAAGUGAGACAAGACCUUCAUGCCUUCCUCUCCAGCUUCUCAGUAGAGGCAUGCAGAACAUACCCAAUGUCACAAACAAACCUCGAGUGGGCAAGCAAGAAGCCAGGAAUCAGAUGCUGGCUUGAAUCCAGAGGCUGAUGUGGGCCCAAAACCUGCCUGAAAAAUGGAACAAAGGGAAGACAUUGGCCUAAGAGAACACAAGAGAUGCUGCUAAGGUGAUAAUAGACUGAAAACCUGCAGUACCUGGAAGUACCUGGAAGUUCUUUUCUUCAGAAGUCAAAUCUGCCAAAGCCUUGCUUGGUUUUAGUUGUCCCAGCUUCCAGUAUUUUGAAAAAAUGGAUUUCUGCUGCUGUCUCUAAGAUUUGUUUUUGUUUUUUGUUUGUUUGUUUUAUGUGUUUUGUUUUUUAAUGCUAUUUCUGUUAUAGCAGUCACACUGGACUAAGUCAUAAGAAUGAAGAAUCAAUAUUUCUUGAAAAUCCAUAUCUGAGUUGGUAGUAACUUACCCAGCUUCACAUCGAUGUGUCAGAACGUGCCCUACUUAUUCGCCUCCUGCUCUCUCUUUUUCCCUGUCCCUCGCUAAGUGUUUGCCAGCCUGGUUGGAGGAACAACAUGUUUUCAAUUUUCAGCAUGCAAGUAUUGUUGUGCAAUAAAUUGUUCUUGUCUGUUGGUUUUUAUGUCAUUGUGUGAUGCUGUUUCAAACCAGAACAUUCUUCAGAGCCUUGUCAGAUGUUGAUGGCCCCAUUAGCAGAGUAAGCUCUCACUUAUGCGAGCCUUUGCUCAAAUAUUCCUCCCCACAGAAGCCUUCCCGAAUACCCUCUCAGUGACUUUCCUCUAAAUCUGCAGCUCAUUUUAUUUUUCUGCCUAGUUACCACCGAUUGACUCGAUUUUGAAUCCAUUAUCUUUUGACUUCACAAAACAAAGUAACCUUAUGAGAAGGAGGACUUGAUUGUAUUCAUCAUUGUGUAUGUAGCACAGUUAAGUUCCGGGCAAAUGAAAAGGCCUUGCAUUAGCUGUUCAUCAAAUGAAUGAUGGAUGUCUUCUCUUGCGCGCGCCGGACUCAACCAGCAAGAACGACGCUGCAAGAACGACAGGAUCCUUCUGCACAUGUUUAUUGGGAGAGCUUGAUUGCAGAGGCGAAAAGACGCCGAGCCCAGAACUGGUGCUGCUUAUAUAGGCCUAGAAGAGGCGUGUCUCAUACCCAGAUUGGUUAUGCACUAUGCCUCAUUUGCAUGUUCCUCAUCUGAUUGGCUACUCUCUCUCUCUCUCUCUCUCUCUCUCUGUACCUCACAGAGCCUCAUUAUCAUACCUCAUUUGCAUGUCUCACAUCUGAUUGGUUAUAUUCUCAGUACCUCAUUAACAUGCCCAGGCCAGGCAGUGACUUUGCAAAAAACUUUACUGCAUAUGUACACAUUGGUUGUUUGUCCAAACUUAUGCGUGGUGGCCAGCAGUAGUCAGUGCCACUCUGCAACGGCACAUGUGGCUUCCCACAGUCUUCAGCUCCAGAUCCAUGGAUACCUUGAUAUCCCUGUGCAAAUAGCAUUCUUGAAUUUGAGACAUUAUUUACAACACGAAAUCACUUCCUGAAAUACUUUUAUUGUAUGAAUAUUAAUCAAUACCUAUCUUGGCUAAUGCUGAG
rnacentral:lncRNA from 1 species